rnacentral:rRNA from 1 species
GAUGAACGCUGGCGGCGUGCCUAAUACAUGCAAGUCGAGCGAACGGACGAGAAGCUUGCUUCUCUGAUGUUAGCGGCGGACGGGUGAGUAACACGUGGAUAGCCUACCUAUAAGACUGGGAUAACUUCGGGAAACCGUAGCUAAUACCGGAUAAUAUUUUGAACCGCAUGGUUCAAAAGUGAAAGACGGUCUUGCUGUCACUUAUAGAUGGAUCCGCGCUGCAUUAGCUAGUUGGUAAGGUAACGGCUUACCAAGGCAACGAUGCAUAGCCGACCUGAGAGGGUGAUCGGCCACACUGGAACUGAGACACGGUCCAGACUCCUACGGGAGGCAGCAGUAGGGAAUCUUCCGCAAAGGGCGAAAGCCUGACGGAGCAACGCCGCGUGAGUGAUGAAGGUCUUCGGAUCGUAAAACUCUGUUAUUAGGGAAGAACAUAUGUGUAAGUAACUGUGCACAUCUUGACGGUACCUAAUCAGAAAGCCACGGCUAACUACGUG